UACACACCGCCCGUCAAGUGAUGGGAGUUGGUUCCACCCGAAGCCGGGGCGCUAACCGCAAGGAAGCAGCCGACCACGGUGGGAUCAGCGACUGGCACU
rnacentral:rRNA from 1 species